rnacentral:rRNA from 1 species
AUGUUCAUCAUGGAUGUCUUUCGUCGCCACAUCCGCAACACGAUGAUGACCGCCAUCUUUAGCAUCUUGGAUGCCGUCUCAGACUCUAUUGUGUUAUACCUGCUGGGGGCCAUGCAGACAGCGAGCUUCACAAAUCAAUUGUUCCCUGUCUGGGCCCUCGUCCUUGUCAGUAUCCGUUACAACAUUGACUUCAUCUCUGGCUAUGGUGUUCAUGAUCGCCAUGGGCGACGGUUCAGGGAGUGGAGGAACGUGGUCAAACUUCUGGGAUCGGCAUUCUUGAACUCUCGCGGCUCAAGGUUCGCAAUUCCAAUCUGGUUUCUUUUGGCUCUGCUGAUACUGAGGAGCUUCCACAGAUUAAGUGCGUAUGGUUUGGCACUCUGUUCUGUCUGGCAUGGCAAGAGUUCAGAGGUGGUUACAGAGUACAUGCGUGCUGGCCCUCAUACUAGCAACUGGAAACCAGAGGAGUGCAAGCCAGAGAAUGAUAUGGAAGGGUACAAAUACUUUGUCCAUGGAGAAACCCAAAGGGAAAUCAGACUCAAGAAGCCCCAGUAUGUCCUGUACAUCGAUGCUGACCGGUCUGGGCGUGGUUUUUCAUCACUGGUCACCUUAGACAAGAUCUGGGGAUGUCGCAAACACCGGUUACACCCGGACAAUAAUAAGGGGAAUGACCCAAAGGAUCUCUCUCUGGCCUUCGCCUUGUCCAGAUUGCUCCGGUGCAGGCUCGAGGAUGUAACACUGCAACAAGAAAUCUUCUGCAUUAACCGAAAGCUAGUGAAGACUAAGAUCCUUGAGGAGCAGAACACUGAUCGCGCCUUCAGGAUCAUGGAGCUGCAAUUAUCCUUCGUAAAUGAGUAUUUCAACACCCGCUACCCUAUGGUCUUCUGGAAUGGGUUCUAUUCUCUCUUCUUAAAUCUGCUUCUCUCUGCAGUGAACUUGGCUGUUGUCUUCUGGCUUCUUGUGGACAUCUGUAAGGACUAUAGCAAUAAUCCCACGAGGAAUCACCGGUAUAACCCCCCAAAGAAUCACCGGGCUCAUGUGGUGCAUGGGUUCAAUGUUGACAUGUUCAUCACAUUUGUAUUCAUUGUUUUUAUGGUGUUCAAAGAGAUCUGGGAGAUAGUCAGCUACUUAAUCUCAGACUGGACAAGAUUACUCCUUGUCUGCAGCUAUACACGGCAGGAGAAACAGCCAACUAGAAAUAAAUGUAUGGAGAGAACAAUAUCAUCCAUUUUUAAAUCUAGGGUAACUACUAAGCAGUGGCAUGGACUUAUUGACCAGUAUGUCUUCUUAGAGUCAUAUGAUGACAGACCAAGAUUUUGGAAUCUGCUUCACAAGAUGACCACAGGAAUGGUGCCAAAGAAGGACGAUGGAGCAACACUUCGCAACGCCAUUGAUGUGCCGGGAUGUGUCAGGCCAGCAAUACUGAAGAAACUUUCUGCAAGCCUGGAGAAGCUCAGUUCUCCUGACAUUGUACAUGAUCAGCCAGACAAUCCUAACAGAAAUCAUGGGGAGCAAGGUCAGCUUCUUCCCAAGGCCAUGACAUCACUGUAUGACGCUGAUGGUGAGCGAAUGAAGCGGUAUGGUUGGGCCUGCUUCGACCUGCCCACAUGCUCACAUGUAAUUCUGGUGUGGCACAUUGCAACCAGCCUCUGCGAGAUGAAGCUAGCUCGAGGCCAUGGUGUCGACUUAAGCAAGUAUGGGUUUCUGGGCUCCCUCUUGUCGUGCUUCACAAGUUGCUGCUCAUCAAAAACAUAUCUUAUGGAUGUGGAAGAGAAGACGAAAGCAAAGAAAAAAGUGAAUGAGAAGUUGCCUGAUAAGCUCCAGGAAAUGUAUAUCAUCGCGAAUAGCUUGUCUCGGUACUGUGCAUAUCUGCUAGUUUCAAAACCUGACCUGCUCCCUGACAGCUUUUGCAUACCCAACAUGGUCUUACAAGUAACCGUGACAUGCGCUCGUGAUGAUAUUCUUAAAAACUGUGACUCGUUACAAAGCAAGUAUGACAAACUGAUGGAAGAAGCAGAGAAGGUCAUCCAAGAUGCUGACGACAUCAUGAAAAAAGAAGAUGUUGUGCGAUUAGGUGCAAAGUUGGGCAAGGAACUGAUUGAUCAAGAGAGUCAAGAAGAAUGCUGGGGGAUCCUGUCUGAGGUAUGGGCAGAUUUACUGGUGCACAUUGCCCCCACUUGGAAUGCAGAGGCGCACAAGGAGUGCCUUGAGUCAGGAGGGGAAUUCAUAACAUAUAUUUGGGCAUUGCUAUGGCAUUGUGGAAUCGAGAAGAGCAAAUUAUGGCCAGUUGAAGAUGUGUAUGAAAAUGAUCCCCGUGGAACGCCACCUCAGGAUAACAGUGUACGAAACAAUAGUGGUCACCGUGCAGAUCAGACUUGUGCAGCAGGACCAAGGGACAAAACAGAAACUGACAUACAGAGAUCAGAAAUGCAGCAAGUUCAUGCAGAGGAGAGGAAUGAGCUAAACACAGAUACGGUUGAUCAUCAGAAUGGGCAAGGCAGCAAUGUGGUGGUAAGAGGGAUGCGGAAUGGCGGGAACACGUGUUACUUCAAUGCAGUGUUGCAGAGUCUCCUUGCACUUGAUAAGCUGCGUGCAAGGAUGUUAGGGCCAGAUGCUUUGACAGGGGACCUUGGUCAGGAACUGCAGAAGCUCUUCAUAAUGACAACCAAUACCAAUGGUGCUCGAGGUGUGCUGAUGUCAGAUAAAUUCUUCUCAUAUAUGUGCAAAAGGAAAUCAGAUUUCAAACCUGGCGUGAUGGAAGACAGCAAUAACAUGCUUCGUUCCUUGCUAAAUGGUUUGGAUAACGAGGACCAUAGUCAACCUACAAUGGUUGAGUCACUCUUCCAUAGCCAGGUUGUUAAAUAUGUCUCCAGCAAAGAGUGCAAGCACACAUCAAUUACCUUCGAGGACCUUGAUCUCAGUCUGGCAAUACCACCAAAGAAGCAUGCAUCAAUCGAGGACUGCUUGGAUUUAUAUGUCACUGGGGUGAUUGAUGAUUGGCAUUGUACAGACUGUUCUGCUGCUGGAAAUGCCUCUUUGAACCAAGAAGGUACAACAGUCAACAAUAGCCAACAUGAACAGUUGGACAAUAAAACAUAUAUGCAGAAGGAAUCUAGCUAUCCAGCUGACGAACAAACAAUGACAACAAAUCAGAACAAUGGAAAGCUACCGGUGCUUGAUAACAAUGCAAAUCAAAUGGAAGAGCGCCAUAAAAAACUGAAGGAGGAGGAGAAGAUAUACAGAACUGCAAUAGUACAGUAUCACAUUACCAAGGCGGCACCUAUACUAACCAUUCAGCUAAAGAGAUUCGACUAUUCCCACCCUGAUAAGUUAGACAAAGUUGCAAGAACAUGUGAGCUUUCAGGAUACACUUCAUAUAACAAAGUUCAUGCACCUUGGGCAUCUGAAGGAUGA